rnacentral:lncRNA from 1 species
UUUCUGCUGGCCUAUAAGGUUUUUGCUGAGAAGUCUGCUACCAGACACAUAUUGGAGCUCCAUUGUAUAUUAUCUGUUUCUUUUCUCUUGUAGCUUUUAGGUUUUUGUUUUUUUUUUUACUCUUUUCUCCCCUCUUUUCAAGCAGAAGAAAGAAGUCUCUCCCAGAGCUGCCAGCUGCACUGCUUGUGUUUGGAGGAGGAUGGCACAGGCAUUCCCUUGGCUGCCUUGGCCGGUGUCUCACUAGGUCUCCUGCCCCCCAAGUCCACUGGCUCUGAGCCCAACACAGCACCAGGACUUGUCCAGUAAUUGCAGUUCUUGAAGCCUAGACUGACUUUCAAAUUUAUUUAGGACCCAUAGCACUUUAGCCCAUGGUGGCAAGACUUGCCAGAACUCAGGUUCCAAACACUGGGAUGGAUGAUUUGCCUCUGGCAUAGCUGGUCUAAAUACUUUCUGUGUGGGCACCAGCAGAUUUCUGCCCAGUAUGACUUUCUACUGUGACAGGGAAGCACUAAGUUUCAAUGCAAAGAUCCCACAAUUACGGUGCUUUCCCUUCCCCAAGUGCAGAUUUCCUCUCUGCAUCAUGUGGUCACUGCCAGGGGAUGGGAGAAGGGUGGCAUCAGCAGUUCAAGACUUUCUUUCCUACCCUCUUCAGUUCCUCUUUCACUAAUAUGAAGUCAAACCAAUUACUGUGCUCACUUACCUAAUGCUUCAUUCUUAUGAAGGUGCUUUUUUGUGUGGAUAGUUGUUAAGUUUGGUGUUCCUCUAGGGAGGACAAUCAAUGCAGGCUUCUGUUCAGCUAUCUUGCUCUGGCUGUCUUGGAAACUCUAUUUUCUGUGCCAUUUUUCUUUAAAAAAAUUAUUUUUAGUUUCAAUAGCUUUAGUAGUACAAGUUAUUUUUGGUUACAAGGUUGAAUUAUAUAGUGGUGAAGUCUGUGAUUUUAGUGUACACAUCACCCAAAUGGUGUAUAUUAUACCCACUAGAUGGUUAUUCAUCCCUUAGUCCUCUCCCACCCUAUCCCCUUCUGAGACUCCAAUGUCCAUUAUACCACUCUGUAUGCCUUUGCAUACCCACAGCUUAGGUCCCACUUAUAAGUGAGAACACAUGGUAUUUUAUUUUCCAUUCCUGAGUUACUUCACUUAGGAUAAUUGCCCCCCGUUCUAUCCAAGUUGCACAAAAGACACUAUUUUGUUCUUUUUAAUGCCUGAGUAGUAGUAUUCCAUUAUAUAUCUAUAUCUGGAUCAUCUAUCUGUCCCUCUCUCUAUCUAUCUAUCCAUAUAUAUCUCACAUUUUCUUUAUCCACUCAUGGAUGGGUAUUUAGGUUGAUUCUGUAUCUUUGCAAUUGUGAAUUGGGCCGUGAUAAACAUAUGAGUGUAGGUGUCUUUUUUAUAUAAUGACUUCUUUUCCUUUGGAUAGAUACCCAGUAGUGGGUUGUUUGGAUCUAUGUAUUUAAUAAAUAGAACAAUUGAGUAUUUCUUUUGGCCUAGAGCAUAAAAUAGUUGCUGAGACACAAAGAGACCCAAGAAAGUUGAGGAACCUCUGAUAUAGCUUCAUGAAGGGCCAAAAAUUUUGACAGAAAAGAAACUUUAUACUCAACAUUGUAGGCCAGAUAUUUGUUUUUGGGUAAUGCAAUAUAGUGAACAAAAACAAGAAGGAGGAAGAGGAGCGGGAAGGGAAAGGAGGAAGUAGUAGAAUAAGAAUGGCCAUUAACUGAGCACUUAACUAAGUGCCAGGCUUUGUGCUAAGCAUUUUACCUACAAUAAUAUUUUUCAAUAUAAGGCCUGUGCCAUCAUAGUACAUAUUGGAUUUUCUCUGUUCUCGUUGGUAAAACAGCCAUUACCCAAAGCAACCUUGGCAGCCCUGUGCCUCUUCCUGCCAGGCGCCCCCUGGACUUCCCUACAAAAUAGCAACUUAAUGAGCCAAGCAGGGGACCUUUAUGACCUUGCUCCAGCACCAUGGCUGAUAUUUGUUAUGCUUAACUAUUGCUUGGCCUUCCUAAUGUUAAAUAUUUAGCAUUCCACCCUUGUUCAGUCCUCACAGCAACACCUUUGGGGAUGCCGAUUCCAAUGGCCCAAAAUAUAUCUUGACCUUGCAGCCAGUUUAUAUUUUUCUUGAUGUGAGAGACAACCCUAAAUAUAAGGAGAUCUUUCUCUGAAGUUUGAUCAGCUGACACAAAUUUCCCAAUUUUCAAGGACACUACCUAAUAUUUUAUUCGAAUUAAGAAAAUCAACAAAUAUAUAUUUUGCAAGAGGCAAAUCUGUGUGUGUGUGUGUAAUGUAAUGUAAUGCCUAGAGCAAUCACUUUAAAAAGCUGCAUAAAGAGAUGUACUCACAAACACUAUAGAUAAAACAAAAUAGAAUUCUAAAAAAAAAAAAAAAGUUGACAUAACCCACAGGAAGGCAGAAAAAGACAAAUAGAAUAUGCAGAAAAAAAAUAAAAUGGCAGACAUAAGUCCUAACAUAUCAGAAUUACAUUAAAAGUCAAUGGGGCAGGCCGGGCGCAGUGGCUCACGCCUGUAAUCCCAGAACUUUGGGAGGCCGAGGCGGGCAGAUCACGAAGUCAGGAGUUAAGACCAGCCUGACCAACAUGGUAAAACCCCGUCUCUACUAAAAAUACAAAAAUUAGCCAGGCGUGGUAGUGGAUGUCUGUAAUCCCAGCUACUCAGGAGGCUGAGGCAGGAGAAUCACUUGAACCUGGGAGGCAGAGGUUGCAGUGAGCCGAGAUCGUGCCACUGCACUCCAGCCUGGGUGACAGAGUGAGACACUGUCUCAAAAAAAAAAAAAAAAAAAGAAAAAAAAAAGUCAAUGGGGCUGGGUGCAGUGGCUCACACCUGUGAUACCACCACUAUGGGAGGCCGAAGUGGGAGGAUCACUUGAGGUCAGGGGUUCAAGAACAGCCUGGGAAACUUAGCAAGACCUUAACUCUAUGAAAGAAUAAAAAAAAAUAGCCAGGUAUGGUGGUGUGUGCCUGUAACCCCAGCUACUCAGGAGGCUGAGGCAGAAAAAUUGCUUGAGCCCAGGAGUUCUAGGUUACAGUGAGCUAUGAUCAUAUGACUGCACUCCAGACCCUGUCUCCAAAAAAAAAGCCAAUGGGUUAACUACCCCAUAAUAACAAGCUAAACAAGAAAAGUUACAUGAUCAUAUUAAUCAAAGCAGAAACAAAUUUGACAAAAUUUAACACUCAUUCAUGAUAAUAAAAAAAAACUUUCAGGAAAACAGGAAUAGAAGGGAACUGCUUCAAAUUGAUAAAGAUCAUCUACUAAAAACAUACAGCUAUUAAUAAACUUAAUGUUUAUAGAUGUUGGUGGGGAUGGUAAAAGGGGAAUUAUUAUACACUGCUGGUGGGAAUGUAAAUUAGUACAACCUUUAUGGAAAACAGUAUGAAGAUUUAUAAAGAACUAAAAGUAGAUCUACCAUUUGAUCCAGCAAAACCAAGAUGGUGACAAGAGUAACCUCUUGUUGUCCUCACUGCUACACUCUCACCAGUGCCAUGACAGUUUACAAAUGCCAUGACAGUAUCAGGAAGUUACCCUAUAUGGUCUGAAAAAGGGAACCAUGGAUAAUCCACCCUUUGUUUAGCAUAUAAUAAAGAAAUAAGCCUGGGCGCAGUGGCUCAUGCCUGUAAUCCCAGCACUUUGGGAGGCCGUGGCGGGUUGAUCAUGAGGUCAGGAGAUCGAGACCAUCCUGGCCAACAUGGUGAAACCCCGUCUCUACUAAAAUACAAAAAAAAAAAAAAUUAGCCAGGCGUGGUGGUGGGCGCCUGUAGUCCCAGCUACUCGGGAGGCUGAAGCAGGAGAAUGGCAUGAACUCAGGAGGUGGAGGUUGCAAUGAGCCGAGAUUGCGCCACUGCACUCCAGCCUGGGCGACAGAGAGAGACUCUGACUCAAAAAGAGAAAGAAAGGAAGGAAGGAAGGAAGGAAGGAAGGAAGGAAGGAAGGAAGGAAGGAAGGAACCAUAAAAAUGGGCACCCAGGAGCCCUCGGGGCUGCAAUGUCUAUGGUGUAGCCAUUCUUUUAUUCCUCUACUUUCUUAAUAAACUUGUUUUCACUUUAUGUACUCACUCUGAAUUCUUUCUUUCUUGAGACCCAGGAACCCUCUCUUGGGGUCUGGCUUGGGACCCCUUUCUGGGUAACAUCUUUCUGGCAACGAGGAAGGGACGAAACUGAGGAGAUCCCCCAGGAAACAGACUGUAGCACUGAUUGGUUGACUUUGGGUAAGUGGUGGUGAGGCAGGAAAAUAGGGUCUGGAGACAAGGAACAUAAGGCCGAUUCACACUUCAGCUAUGAGAGGAAAUAACCUCUCCAUGAGGCAUACACCAAAUAAAUGACUUUGUAACUUUACUUCAUCCUCUCCAUUUAUAUAGGGCAUACCCGAAGAAACCAAUGAUAUCUUCUAGGGAUAUCUUUUUUUGUUGCUGUUGAGACAGGGUCUUGCUCUGCCACCCUAGGCUGGAGUGCAGUGGCUCACUGCAACCUCUGCCUCCCAGGCUUGAGUGACCCUCCCACCUCAACCUCUCAAAUAGCUGGGACUACAGGUACACAUCACCACACCUGGAUAAUUGUUGAAUUUUUUUUGUAAAGACAGGUUUUUUUUGUUUUUUUUUUCAUGUUGCCCAGGCUGGUCAAUUCCUUUUAGACCUACACUUGGAGUAGUGUGAUGUUGGCUAAUCUAUUUUGGAGGAAAACCACUGUUUUUGAUAGAAUUAAGGAAUUCUAGAAUGCAAAGAAAUUUUUAGGUAACCUAGGGCUUGCUCCUAGGAUUUUCUCCUUAUUUUGCUGAUGAGGAGAGGUAGAUAGCAUGUAGUUGGAUCCUGUUUUUUCAUCCAAUGUUAUAAUUUUUCACUUCUGAUUAAAGGGUUUACUCCAUUUAUAUUUAAUGUUGGACUUAUAUGGUUUAUAUUUAAUGGUUGGAUUUAUAGCUGUCAUUUGACUGUGUUCUACAUGUCUCAUGUUUUUGGUUGCUGUAUUGCUUCUUUACAGCCUCCGUUUGUGUUAAAUAUGUAUUUUAUAAUUGCAUCAUUUUACUUUGUUGGUGUUUUAGCACUAGUCUUUUGAGUAAUAUUCUUAGUGGUUGCUCUAGGAAUUGCAAUAUACAUGCUCAUUUGAAACAAUCUAGCUUUGAUUAAUACUAACUUUAGUAUAUAGAAACUUUGUUCCAAUAUAGCAUCAUUUUCUCUCCCCUCCUUUGUAUUAUUGUAAUAGAAAUUAUAUUUAUAUAUGUUAUAAUGCCAAAAUAAACUUAUAUGAUUACUGUUUUUAUUCAAUUGUCUUUUAACUCCAUUUAGAGAAGAAAAAAGUAAAAAGUAUAUUUAUACUAUUUCUUAUAUUUAUCUAUAUAAUUACCUUUAUUGAUGCUAUUUCUUUGUAGUGAUUCAAGUACUAUCUUCCAGUUUCAUUCCUUUUCAGUCUGAAUGAUUUUCUUUAGAAUUUAUUUAAAAAAAAAACAACAACAACAAAAUAAAACUAGAAUCUUGCUCUGUCACCUAAGCUGGAGUGCAGUGGCGCAGUCUUGGCUCACUGCAAUCUUUGCCUCCCAGGUUCAAGCUAUUCUCCUGUAGCUGGGAUUAAAGGCAUGCACUAGCACACCCUGAUAAUUUUUGUAUUUUUAGUAGAGAUCGGGUUUCACCAUAGUGGCCAGGCUGGUCUGGAACUCCUGACCUCAAGCAAUCUGCCCACCUCAGCCUCCCAAAGUGCUGGGAUUACAGGCAUGAGCCACCGCACCCAGCUAGAAUUUCUCAUAGGACAGGUAUACUAGUGACAAACUAUCUUAAUCUUUCUUUAUCUGGUAAUGCCUUUAUUUUGCUUUCAAUUUUGAAGAAUAGUUUUUCUGGAUAUAUAAUUCUUGGUGGUCAGUUUCUUCUUUUUCUUUCAGUACUUUGAAUAUGUCAAUUUAUUGACUUCUGAGCUCCAUUAUUUCUGAUAAGAAGCAAGUUGUUAGUCUUACUAUUUCUCAUAUGUGAAUAAUUAUUUUUUAUUUUUGCUACUUCUAAGAUUUUCUCUUUUUAUUUGACUUUUGAUGGUUUGACUAUGAUAUGUCUAGGUGUGGAUCUCUUUAUGUUUAGGCUACUUGGAGUUCUUUAAACUUUUUGGAUGUGUAGAUUAAUGUUUUCCAGCAAACUUGGGACAUUUUCAGCUACUGUAUCUUCAGUAGUUUAUUUUUCUUCUUUCUCCCUUCUCUCCUUUUGGAACUUCUAUUUUGCAUAUGUUGGCAUGCCAGUUGUUUUUCAUUGUUUCUGACACUCUGUUACUUUUUUAAAGUUCUUUUGUUUGUUUCUUUAGACUGGAUAACGUCUAUUGACCUAUCUUCAAGUUCACUGAUUCCGUUUUUCAGCCUAAACUUGCUGUUGAACCUUCUAUUAAGUUUUGUAUUUGUUACUGUACUUUUUAAUUCCAUAGUUUCUCUUUGGUUCUUUAAUUUCUGUCUUUCUUUUGAUAUUGUCUGUCUAAUGAGGCAUUGUUUUCAUACUUGUUUUAAAUUAUUUAAAAGUGGUUUUCUUUAAUUUUCCAAACACAUUUAUACUAAGCUGAUUUAAAAGUUUUCUCUAUUAAGUAUGCUCUUCAGAUAGUAUGGGCCACAGUCUCCUGUUUCUUUGCAUGUGUUGUACUUUUUUGUCAAAAAUUAUACAUUUUAGAUUUUUUUUUUUUUUGCUAAACACCAGAGUAUUUUAAUGACUCUGAAAUUUUAUUACCCCACCCACACCAGGGUUUGUUGUUGUCUGUUUAGCAAUUUACAUAGGCUAGUUCUAUAGAGUCCCUGCAGUAUGCUGCCACAGAAAUCUAUGCUCACUUUUUUAAAAAUUCUUGUUUCUAUUUUUAAGCCUAACUUCCUAAGGGUUCCCCUGUGUUUACAUACUUCAGGGGUCAGACAAUGAUUGGUUAGAAGGUUUUCUUAAAUGACUUGAAUAAGUAAAUCUUCCGCAACUGGCUGAGAGAAGCUGUUUAUGAGUUUCCACAUGCCUUCAAAGUUCAGGCAGUUUAUAAAUUUGCCUUAGGUUUCAUUGCCUGCUUACACUGAGCUCCAAGGUCAGUAAGAGAUGAAUAAGUAACUUGGCCCCUGUUGGUAUUUCCUGAACAUGCAUGCAGCCUUGAACAUGCACACAACCUUCUAAAUUCCCAGGAACAUUACAGACAUAUUAUAGAGCUUAUCAAAGUCCCUUGUGGCUCUCUUGUUUCUCAGGUAACCCUAUAAAAUAUUUGCUAGUCUCUUGGUGCCUCAACCUAUAUUGCAGCCCUAAGCAGUUGCAAUGCUGACUUUGAGCAGAUUGCUUCUAAUUGCUAUUCUUUUCAUGAAUAUCCAGAGAUAGAGCUUUUUUGAGGUUCUCCAAGUCAGAUCAGUUCCUUCCAGCAGACACAAGUCCUCAAGACUACCUUAUCACAGAGCUGACACUCAGAGAGGGAAAAAGAUGGAAAAUAUAAAAAAGAACAUAAGAAACGUAAGGAAUAACAUGAACAAAUCUAACUUUCAUGUAAUUGGAGUUCCAAAAGGAUAGCAGAGAGAGAAAGAGAGAAUAGGGAAGAGAUGAUCUUUGAAAAGUUAAUGGCUAAAAUUUUCCCAAAACUAAUGAAAGACAUAAAGCCACUGAGGCAUGAAUUCCUGAAAAUCCCAAGCAGGAUGAAUAUAAAGAAAGUCACAUCUUGGCACAUUACAGUAACACUAAUAAAAACCAAGGUCAAAGAAAAAAAUUUAUAACAGCCUGAGGGGGAGAAAUAUUACCUUCAGUUUUUAAUUGAUUUGGUGCUGACUUUCAAUAAAAUGGUGGCAGUGAGAAUAUAAGUAGUGAAGAAAGUAACUGGUAAUCUAGAAUUACAGACCCAGAAAAUACACCCAGCAAAAACAUCCUGCAAAAAUGAAGGAGAAAUGAAAAUGUUGUCAGAAUAACAAGAACAGAUAAUACUUCCUAAGCAGAAUUACACUAAAAUUACUAUAAAAGGUAGUUCUUCAGGCAGAAGGAAAAUAAUUUCAGAUAAAAGCCUAGAAAUUCAGUAAGGAGUGAAAGACAAUAGAAAGAGUAAUUGUAUGGAUUAAUCUAAAUGAAUAUUGAGGAUAUGCAACACUAAUAUAUUGUCUUGUGGGGUGUAAAAUAUGUUUAGGAUUACAAUACAUGAAAACAAUAAAACAAAAGGUAGAAGAGACUAAAUGGAAUUAUAAUGUUCUAAAAUCUGAGCAUUGCUAGGGAAGAGGUUAAAUUAAUCAUGUAUAUUUACUAUAAGAAGUUCAGGAUGUAUGUAACAACCCAAGGGUAAUCACUUAAUUAAAAAAAGAAUAUAUAAUAGAAAAAGUUAAUAGUGGGGUAAUGAAACUAAAUAUUUGAUUAAUCCAAAAAGAAGGCAUAAAAGAAAAGUAGGGCCAGACAUGGUGGCUCAUGCCUGUAAUCCUAGCACUUUGGGAGGCCGAGGGGGGUGGAUCACUUGAGGUCAGGAGUUUGAGAUCAGCCUGACCAACAUAG